CAUAAGGCACAGCUUCUCUCCUUUGAGAAAGAACAAAUAAGAAUGAAGUGUUAUAUUGCAAAGCUAAUUAUAUAUUCUGUUCAAGUGUCAACCAUCUGUUGCAAUUGUUUAAAAAGCAGAUAUAAGUCAACUGUUGGGGUGAGAUGUUUACCAUUGUGAACACACAGAAAGAUUAUGACACCAGUGCAGAUAUGCUGUUCUAGCACGUGCCAGGGGCUGCAGUCUCCCGAAGCCCUCAGAAGCCCGCCUUCCUGUGAGAGGGAUGUGUUUCUGUUUCUCCCCCUGGAAAUAGGCAAGAAGUCCUCCUACUCAAUACAUGUCACUAGUUGGAGCAGUGGGUCAUGGCCAGAAGUGUGUCUUCAGUGGGUUGAAUUGAUUAAUGCAAGUUCCUUGAAGGAGGAAAAAAUCUCUCCACUGAUCAGCUUGUUUUUUCUAAAUCGCAUCCUAUGGGAACCAGCAUCAAAGUUGACAAAAAAUAAAAAGAAAAAAAGAAAGCUGCCAGGAUCUUACCCAAAUAAAUACAUUUGGAAAAGAAUCCAUCUCUCUGCUUAUGUGAAAAUAAUGAAAAGAUGUACAGGGGUGACACAUUUCAGGAAUAAAUUUGAAGAGAAUUGUUUCCUACAAUUUCACAAAAGGACCUUAGGGAAGGAGAGCCUAUUCAGUAAUUAAGAUCGCUUGUCACCCUUGCACAUUGGCAGAUCUAUGGAGAUGUCACUUCAGGGAAUUUGAUGACUGCUCUCCCAUGGGAACACUUCGCUUUGGGGAAUCUGAAGCUUUACUUAAAGAGGUCAUUUGCUCCAUAGAUUCGAAGAGUGAUUACAGGAGUGACAGGUUUUCUUGUUAUUGCAAGACAUGUGGCACACCUUUCAUUUAUUCGCAUAUCAAGCCAAGUUGGAUUUGUUCUGUGGAUGUAGGUAUACUUUAAAUGUUUCAGAAUGAGGAUUUCAGAUAAUUUUUAAAUAUACAAAAGAAGGGAAUGGAAACUGGUGCUAUUUUUAUGUUCUCUGAAUCUAGUCAUCAGUCCUGCAUAUGGUUAACAUGGUAUAGAGGACAAGAGGAGGCAACUUCCUGGUCAGUAAGUGUACCUAUUUGAGACGUGCUGUGGGGUCUCUCACUGGAGAGUGUGAGACUGGGGAUCAGAUGCCAAAAUUACCUGUUCGGUCAUGUGAAGACAGACCACAGAAAUGAAUUAUAAGAUGUGGCAUCGAAGAGGGCUUGGUGAACCAGGAAAGGGAAGCAAGUGCUAGUGGCCAGAGCAGAUGACUGGGAGAUGAUCAGCUUACCUUCCUGAGGUUGAGGAUGUGAACGGGAAACGUCUUCAAUUAGGUUUGUGUGGGUAACCAAGAUGCACAUAGCAGGCGGCCUGGCGUAUUGUCAGAGAGAGAUAUUUUCUUCGCCUUCUCUUUUCUCAUCCGUUUUACUGAAAAGGGAAAUACAUGAUAGAAUGGUAUUGCAGGGGGAUCAGAACAUCACUCUUGGAAUCGCACAGGCUCAGGAUCAAUGCAAGCUCCGCAAUUUAGCACCUUGGAAAAUGUACUUAGUCACUCUUUAGUUUCUUCAUUUCCAAAAGAAUGAUUAAAAAUCGCAGUUACCUUCAAAGAUUACUGAGAAAGUAAAUAAAUAAUGUUUUCUAAGUACUUACUACA
rnacentral:lncRNA from 1 species